GCGCUUCUCGCUUUCUUUGUUCUGGGAUUUGGACUCCUCCCCCGAGGUGCGCACCUCCUCCACCUCCCGCCACACCUCCUUCAGCUGGGCCUGCGGAGCGGAGCAUCCAGGUCCCUCCGGCCAGCUUCCCUGUCUGGUCUGUUGCCGACAGGAUCCAGAGGGGACGCUGACACUGAGUCAGACCCUGCCUGAGCCAAUCCCCAGUGAGGCCCUGCCAGCUGCAGACCUUGGGGAGCACCUCCAUAGAGGGAGUCCAGAGUGAAGGUGCACGAGGGGGUGAAUGAGUAAAAGAGGGAGCAAGGCUGCGGAUGAGGGGGUGCAGAGGCAGUCAGUGAGCUGCAGCUGGAUGCGCCCCCAUGGCACCCCCAGGCCUGCCCUACCUGCUUGGCCAGCUGCCGCCGCCUCUCCUCCCCAGCUUCGUCAUGGCCCUGCAGGUCGCGCUCAUGCUGGGCCUUGAGGGCCUGCACCGUCACCUCCAGGCGCAGCUUGGCAUCCUCAGCGGCCGUGAGCUCAUCCUCCAGCUCCGUCACCUGCGUCCGCAGGUCACUGGCUGUCUGUUCGGCCACCCGGCGGGCUCGUUCCAGCUCGUGCACCUGUGGGAGAAAAAUGAAGAGAACAAGGCUCAGAGGGGCUGAUCCAUCUGCCGGUGCCACACAGCCAGAGAGGAGCCGAGCUGGGACUCGAACCUCAGGGUUGCCUGAUCUUAGUGCUCUGGGGCGGUCUGGAGGCGGGAGUGGAG